rnacentral:lncRNA from 1 species
GGCUUUUCAGAAGGAACUUGUGACUGUGGAUCACUCUCCAGAGAGACAAACCUUUUCAGACUUAAGAGAGACGGCAGUAGCAGCAGCCUCUGCAUUAAGUUUUGACCAGCUCUCACAGGCCUCUGGGUUACGCGGUUCACCCCGACCUCUGGGGCGUCCCUGCACUGCAGAACUACAGCGGCUGUUCAGGGCAUACUGGGAGCUGUGGAGAAAUUUUGCAGUAAGGAUUCACAUCAGCUUCAAAGUGCCCAGAAUGAGCAUUAAAAUGCUGCCAGGAAGACAGUUGUUGCUACGUUAAAUCUCUGGGGGGACAAAGUGGGAAACGAAGGUUAGUAAAAUAAAACAAAACAGGUCAUGGUUGUGAAGCAACCUGUCCUCAGUACCUAACUACAUGGAGCUGGUGUCGGCCUCUUUCCGAGAGGGGCUGUGUCCCUCCCUGAACGGGAUACUGAUAGUAAAGAGCUCCCCCACAUAAAGCAUCCUUUGCACCCUCCCAAUCGAUUCUUUCCCUUUUUGUUUUCUAGGAACAAGAGGAUUCAUCUGACUUAACUGGAGAUGGCUCCCUUCCCCAUUUAUUGUUCCAUUCCUAAAGCUUCCCUCCUACCGGGCUCAGUGAGAGCAGAUGGGAAGAGGCACCCACCUCAGAGGAGCCAGGAAAAGCUAGAAACGGGAGACAGAGGGAGGCCAUCUCUCCAAGUGUUGGUACCAGCCAAAUAGGAUAAAUUGUUCAUAUUAUGAUGAUGACGACAACUAUAAUGAUGAAGAGAACAUAUAGACCCAGAUGAAAAAAACAAAGGCUUUGAUUUCAAGCCAUGCUUAAGUCCCAAAGUACUCCUGUUAGAGCCAUUUA